GGCUGGUUCGAAGGUGGUUGUGGCUCCUCUCCAUUGGUUUUUCAUAGUUACAGAUCGAACUCCUUGUUCUGCUCUUUCCCUUCUUCUCACUGCUGCAGUUGACUAGUUUAAA
ensembl:misc_RNA Y_RNA Y RNA